GAUGAGGGAAUUCCUAGUGCUAGGACAUUUGUUCUAGCUUUUCUCAAGCGUAGAUAACUCGAGGAAUAAGGGCUGGGUAAGACGGGUGCCAGCCGCCGCGGUAAUACCUGCAGCCCAAGUGGUGGUCGAUUUUAUUGAGUCUAAAACGUUCGUAGCCGGUCUGGUAAAUCCUUGGGUAAAUCGGGAAGCUUAACUUUCCGACUUCCGAGGAGACUGCCAGACUUGGGACUGGGAGAGGCAAGAGGUACUUCUGGGGUAGGGGUAAAAUCCUGUAAUCCUAGAAGGACCACCGGUGGCGAAGGCGUCUUGCUAGAACGGAUCCGACGGUGAGGGACGAAGCCCUGGGUCGCAAACGGGAUUAGAUACCCCGGUAGUCCAGGGUGUAAACGCUGCAGACUUGGUGUUGGAGGCCCUUCGGGGGCAUUCAGUGCCGGAGAGAAGUUGUUAAGUCUGCUACUUGGGGAGUACGUCCGCAAGGAUGAAACUUAAAGGAAUUGGCGGGGGAGCACCGCAACGGGAGGAGCGUGCGGUUUAAUUGGAUUUAACACCGGAAAACUCACCAAGGGCGACUGUUACAUGAAAGCCAGGCUAAUGACCUUGCUAGAUUUUCAGAGAGGUGGUGCAUGGCCGUCGUCAGUUCGUACCGUAAGGCGUUCUCUUAAGUGAGAUAACGAACGAGAC
rnacentral:rRNA from 1 species